rnacentral:rRNA from 1 species
AUGGACCUCUCUUCCAACUUCUUGGUAGGAAGCAUCCCAGAAUCCUUUGGACAACUUAAUAUGUUAACUUUCAUAAAUCUAUCGCACAACUCCUUCAAAGGUUUUAUUCCGGGCACACUCGAAAAGCUAAAAGGCUUGGCAUCAUUAGACCUCUCAUCUAACAACCUCUCUGGUAGCAUUCCCAUGUUCUUUGCCAACUUUUCUUACUUGACUAUCUUGAACCUCUCAUUCAAUAAUCUGGAAGGCCAGAUACCCGAGGGGGGUGUUUUCUCAAACCUCACCUUUCAGUCUUUGAUUGGGAAUGAUGAUCUAUGUGGUGCUCCGCGUCUUGGAUUUUUGACAUGCCUUGACAUGCCUCGCUCAAGUAAUAGAAAAUUGCUACAAAUUUUAAUCCCAACACUCACACUAGUUGUUGGUGCGAUUGCCAUUUGCAUAUACCUAUGGUCUAGAAAGAAACUUAACAUGGGAAAUGAGAUAACGGUUGAUGAUCUAACAAAUGUGGCUGGUUACCAGAUAGUCUCCUAUCAUGAGCUCAUUCGUGCCACCAAUAGUUUCAAUGAAGAAAACAUCUUAGGCUCAGGAAGCUUUGGAAAAGUCUUCAAGGGCCAAUUGAGCACUGGUUUGGUGGUGGCGAUAAAAGUUCUUGACAUGCAGCUAGAGCAGGCCAUCCGAAGUUUUGACGUCGAGUGUCAAGUGCUUCGCAUGGCACGACAUCGCAACCUAAUCAAGAUACUCAACACAUGUUCCAACCUUGACUUCAGAGCACUAGUGCUUCAGUACAUGCCAAAUGGCAGCUUAGAGACGCUCCUACACCAGUCUGACAGUUCAUGGCACCUUGGGUUCCUUGAGAGACUAGGUAUCAUGCUCGACGUGUCGAUGGCAAUGGAGUAUUUGCACCAUGAGCACUAUGAACUGAUCUUGCACUGUGACUUGAAGCCUAGCAAUGUGUUGUUUGAUGAGGAGAUGACGGCACAUGUGGCAGACUUUGGCAUUGCAAGGUUGAUUCUAGACGACAACUCCAUGAUAUCUGCGAGCAUGCCUGGAACAGUUGGAUAUAUGGCACCAGAAUAUGGGUCUCUUGGGAAAGCAUCACGGAAGAGUGACGUGUUCAGUUAUGGAAUCAUGCUCCUUGAAGUCUUCACUGGAAGGAGACCCACCGAUGCAAUGUUUGGCGCACAACUAACCCUCAGGCAGUGGGUUCAUCAGGCAUUUCCUGCAGAGCUUGUCCGAGUCAUUGAUGGACAGUUACUGCAAGACUCCUCUGCUACUUUCUGCAGCUUGGAAGAUGGCUUUCUUGCAUCGGUGUUCGAGCUGGGUUUACUCUGCUCUGACGACUCGCCUGGCCAGAGGAUGACAAUGCAUGAUGUGGUUGUGACACUUAAGAAGAUCAAAGGCGAGUACACAACAAAACACACAGCGACAAUGUCACGUAAUGUUGCAUAG